AUGUUGAUGCAAGACUACUUCGCGGACAAUCCAACCUAUCCACCGCAUCUCUUCCGGAGAAGGUACCAAAUGCGUUGAUCACUCGUCGUAAAAAUUGUGCAAGCUUGCGAGCCCAAUUGUCAGUUUUUUACUCAACGGAGAAACGCCGCGGGCUUGUUGGGUUUUAGCGCCUACCAAAAAAUCUCCGCAGUUAGGCGUGUGAUUACAUACGGUAUCCCGACUGACUAUGCCAAUGAGUAUCUUCGCAUUGGCGGAGAUACUACAAUUGAGUUAGUGCGUAGGUUUUCCAAAGUGAUGAUCCGCGUCUUUGGUCAUGUGUAUCUUUGUCCACCCACCAAGUAA
rnacentral:rRNA from 1 species